GAUGAACGCUGGCGGCGUGCCUAAUACAUGCAAGUCGAGCGAACAGACGAGGCGCUUGCUCCUCUGACGUUAGCGGCGGACGGGUGAGUAAUACGUAGAUAACCUACCUAUAAGAAUGGGAUAACUUCGGGAACCCGGAGCUAAUACCGGAUCAUAUAUUGAACCGCAUGGUUCAAUAGUGAAAGACGGUUUUGAUGUCACUUAUAGAUGGUUCCGCGCCGCAUUAGCUAGUUGGUAAGGUAACGGCUUACCAAGGCGACGAUGCGUAGCCGACCUGAGAGGGUGAUCAGCCACACUGGAACUGAGACACGGUCCAGACUCCUACGGGAGGCAGCAGUAGGGAAUCUUCCGCAAUGGGCGAAAGCCUGACGGAGCAACGCCGCGUGAGUGAUGAAGGUCUUCGGAUCGUAAAACUCUGUUAUUAGGGAAGAACAAAUGUGUAAGUAACUAUGCACGUCUUGACGGUACCUAAUCAGAAAGCCACGGCUAACUACGUG
rnacentral:rRNA from 1 species